rnacentral:lncRNA from 1 species
GUAAGUAAUAGUAGUAAUUAGUAAUUUUAUGACUGACUGUACGUCAGUCCCAGCACAAGCAUCUAGCACAUGUCACAUGGUGGAUACAGACAGACUGAUGAUCGAUGAAUGUGUACAGGACUGCAUACAGCAGACGGGUUAACCCAGGACAGGUCCCCUGCCCAUCACAGAGACGCUUACAAACACCUACGGACGGUUUAGACGCUCCAGUCAACCUGACUGCAUGUUGGACUGUGGGAAGAAACUGGAGGAAGCCCACACAGACACGGUGCCCAUUGGGUAGAAGUAUUUAUGUCUGUGUCAGCAAGAGACAGCGUCAGGUCGGAGGCAGCAGCUUACAAUAAAAUGACUGAGUGGUUUAACGGGACCGUGUCCAAGGACAGACUGUGGUCGGGGGCGGAGAAGUGGCUGGUGGUGGCAGUGCUGGGACUGGAGAUGGUUAUAGGAGUUGCAGGAAACAGUUUGGUUCUGCUGGUCAAAGCCAAGUGCAGGGGUUGUUUCCGCUGUCAGUACUGGCUUCCUUUCAUCAGUCUCACCAUGUCAGACUUAGGCUGCACCCUCCUAAUCAUCUCCAGCUCCCUGGUUGCCAUAGUGACAGGGGGUCAGAUGUCACCGUGGUGCGAGGUCGUCAGUCUGCUGAAAUUCGCCUUCAUCACUUCGUCCAUCGGGAGCAUAGCUGUUCUCUGCCUGCAGCGCUUCAUUGGAAGGGCCUCCACAGAAAGGCCCUGUUUUGUUGCCAUGGUGAUAGCUUGCUCAGCUUCCUGGGUGAUGGGGCUGGUGUUUGGGAGCGUCCCUGUCAUCUACAGCUGGAUCAGGUACGACCCGGCAGAGAUGCUGUGUGCGGUGUUCUGGGAGAGCAGCUACUCAGACAUGCUGGUCUACAUCCUCUGUGCCUUCUCCAUCUGCAUCUUCCUGCCCUUCCUCCUCAUCGUCUUCUGCUCUGUGCUCAGAUCCAGCAGUUUAAACGACAGUGAGGACAGCGAUGAUGAAGCCGACCUGUCUGCUGUCACUCCAUUGCUGGUGGCCUCCUACCUGGUCUGCUACUCUCCCUUUGCUGUGGCUGAGCUGAUUCUACUGGGCAGGCUGGACCUGUCUCAGGCGCCCAGCUGGUUAAGGACGCUGUCAUCGGUGAUGUCGUACCUGGACUGUGCUGUGAACCCUCUGAUCUACUGCUCACACAAGGCCUUCAGGGAGGCGGGGCUGGCCCUGCUGUGGACCAGCAGCGAAGCGCCAUCGGAGCCGGUGCUCACUGCUGUGACUCCACGGGACGUGAACCUGAGGCACAGAACCGACAGUAACGCCACACCAUGACUUCUGUUUGCUGUAAAAUGUUUUCCACCUAAAAUCUUCCCGUAAAGUGUCACAACAAAACAUUUCUUUUCAUUUCAUGUUAACACUUCACUUUUAGGUGGAAUGAUUAUGAGUUAAUUAGCUUGAAGCUAGUCAACUAAACAGUACAGUAUGCAGUGUAAAAGUCCAGGUUAGUUAAAACAUCGUGAAGGCAGCAUCAUAGAAGUGAUCACAGUCUGUGGAGCCCUGGUGGAGAAGACAUCACGUCACCAACACAGAGUCAGGUCUGAUGGUGCCUCCAGUGUAAGAAGGGCAUCUUUAUGACUAGAACAGUUAAAGUCCUACCAACUAGGUUCUAUUGUUGAACGGGUAAUAACCAUGAUAAUAAUCAAGAGGUAAAAAUAGGUGUAAAAGUUCAUACAAAUGAUAAGUACAACAAAGAAAGUGUGACUGAUUUCAUAAUUUGUGUUUAAUAUAUUAAUAACGUUUGUGAUUCAUGAACACUCAACGUAAGUUCGAAAUCCUGAAUAAACAGCGUCUUAAUAGAGUGCGCUCCA